AUGCCAGAGAAAAUGAUACAGAAUAAUCUGCUUAACUUAUUUAAUCUUUCAGGCACACCAAAUGGAUGCACACCAAGACUGAACAUGCUCCACUUGCAAAAUGGAGUGUAUCGAACCAUUGGCAGGAUGAUAUCUACAAUAAUAGUGCAGUGUAGUGUAGUGGACUACAUUGUGUCUGGGGACAUCCUUCAAGUUCACGUGCCACCUGAUGACAUAGGUGACCCUGAUUUAAGGGAAAACCUCAAUAAGGUUCAACAAGCAACCUUGCAGGAUGAUUUGGAGAAAGCAGUCAGCUGCUGUGACUCAUGGCGAUAUCAAGUAGAAGGGCUUCCACUCGUAGUCACCAUGGCCAACAGAGAUGUGUUUGUGAAAAAUGCAGUUCUAUACCAUACUGUUGUGCAACGGCAGAGCUGUCUUGAUCAACUCACUGAUGGCUUGUCUCACUAUGGAGUAAGAUUUACCUCACAGUUCUGUAUCAUCUUUGAUUAUCUUUAUGGGCUUUCAUUUAUGGUGUUGAAUUUCCCUCCAGGUUUUAUCACUCCUGAGAGAGAACCCCAGCUUGCGUGUGCUGCUUAACAUACCAGGAGAGAACAAAGGUCAAGAAGCUGAUUUUGUAGCUGGUAUUCUCAAACCAAGCUACUCCGUACUGGGGAGCAACAGAAGAGCUAAGGAGGAGUUGAUAGUGGUCAAAUUUAGGGAGUUUCUCCAAUGUGUUGAAAGUAAGUACCGGUAUGUAUUUGUAAUUCAGUACAUUAUACAACAAGGCAAUCCAGGAAAUUUACAGAUUAAUUUUAUUCUUUACAACUCAUGAACCUAUGCCUGUCAAAUGUUUAUGUACCACCAACAAGAAUACAGUUGUUAUCUGAUGCUUUAAAGAAUAAAAUUGCUUUUUCACCAAAAUACUUAUACAGUCCAUAACAAUCCAUUAGUCACUCAAUUAUUCAUUGAUUCAGGCUUUCUUAAACCUGAGUAUUUUCCAGUCUCCAAGUCAACAAUGGUUUCCCUUUGAUUGUAGAUAAAGAGCUGAGAUACACUUAUGGGGACAGGACAGGAUGAUGAGGAGGCAUUCCUGAAGACUUUGAGCCCUGGUCACAUCCUGUUUUCUUACAAAAAAUGUUUACAUCUGUGAGGACUAUCUGACCCUUCUUUAUACUGUAAGAUGUUGUACUGUAUGAUUGGAAGGAUAUGGAAAUCAGUCAUCGCAGUAAUAAUAAAUUAAUAAAUGUAGUUACUUUAACCCUGUGAUGUGUUUUUUUUAACAAUGAUUGUAUGAAUUUAACUACAAUCGUUUUUUUUUUUUUUUUUACAUAUACUGAAUCAGUAGUGAAGGAAUAAAAUAUGUACAUUUACUAUAGUAAGGUACUUCUGUAGAAAUUUGAACUACUUUUCACAUUUAAAUUUUGAAUUCCCCUCCUCACCAUUGAAAGGCUUGUAUAUUCAGAUUUAUUGCUGUUGAAUAUUUUGUGCUAAACUGAAGAUUGUAUUUUCAUAUGUUGAAAAAAAUUCACUUCACUUGACAAAACCUUUUGGAUUAGCUGCAAAAUGCAAAAAUGUUUUUUUCUUACCUUUAUGUACAGCCAUCUUCUCAGAAAUACAUAACAAAGAUACAAGUUAUGUAUGUAAUACACAAGAUAUUAUAAAACACUGACAGUUAUCUUUUUACUUCACUGAGUACUUUUACUUUGCAUAUUUAGGUACUUUAAAAUCAGGAACAAUGUAGUGGAAGACAGUUAUGCAUCAAUACAUCUAUAGAGCCCUGAAAAGCAUGUCACUGUUCCUUCACAUAACAUGAGUCCUCUUGUAUUUAUCCACACUACCAUUGCUUUAGACUUGACAGAAAACUAACAGAUGUAAAAGUAUGUCUGUAGCCUUUUUAACACUGACAUCAUAUAAGUGCCAUCAUGUAAUUUUCUAAAAUCUAUAUGCUGACAAGAGGCUGUAAAUCUUGUAGUUCAAGAAGCACAACAAAACAUCAGUAUUUGUUUCACAGUGUACUUUUGAAAGUCCAAUAAGGCUAAUGUUACCCAGUUGUCCAUGUCAUGCUAAGAUCACACAUUUACAAGUUUUUCAAAAAUAAA
rnacentral:lncRNA from 1 species